rnacentral:rRNA from 1 species
CGGCGUCCGAGUUGUAAUUUGCAGAGGGAGUCUCGGGUGGAGCGCCGGUCCAAGUCCCUUGGAACAGGAUACCAGAGAGGGUGAGAGUCCCGUAUCUGGCCGGUUGCGUCCCCCGUGUGAGGCCCCUUCGACGAGUCGAGUUGUUUGGGAAUGCAGCUCCAAGUGGGUGGUAAAUUCCAUCUAAAGCUAAAUACUGGCCAGAGACCGAUAGCGCACAAGUAGAGUGAUCGAAAGAUGAAAAGCACUUUGAAAAGAGAGUUAAAAAGUACGUGAAAUUGUUGAAAGGGAAGCGUAUACGGCCAGACUUGGCUGCAGUUGCUCAGCCUGUCUUCUGACGGGUGUACUCUUCUGCAGUCAGGCCAGCAUCGGUUUGGGCGGUCGGAUAAAGGCGUCGGGAAUGUGGCUCUUCGGAGUGUUAUAGCCCUUCGUGCAAUGCGGCCAGCCCGGACCGAGGACCGCGCUCUGCUAGGAUGCUGGCGUAAUGGCCUUAUACGGCCCGUCUUGAAACACGGACCAAGGAGUCUAAUUGUUAUGCGAGUGUUUGGGUGUCAAGCCCGGACGCGUAAUGAAAGUGAACGGAGGUGGGAGCUUUUGCGCACCAUCGACCGAUCCUGAUGUCUUCGGAAGGAUUUGAGUAAGAGCAUAGCGAUUGGGACCCGAAAGACAGUGAACUAUGCGUAAAUAGGGUGAAGCCAGAGGAAACUCUGGUGGAGGCUCGCAGCGGUUCUGACGUGCAAAUCGAUCGUCAA